AGGUCGCUGUAAACUUAUACUUGUGUUUGUUUGAAUAAAGAAUAAAGUGUGAGUGCCGGCGCAUAUUUAAAGGAAUGGGGUUUGUCGGAAUCUACGAUAACAAAUUUUGAAGUAAAUCAGAUUUCGUUGGAAUUGCUUGACCACAUACAAGAAACAGAACUCAAGGAGCUUGUUCCGAGUUUAAAAGAACGUAUAUUAUUCAAGCGGGGAUUGAACAAACUCCAAAACAUCAUUCAUGCGACAGACUCUGAUGAAACUCUAUUAAUUGAUAGCGAUUUUUCUGCGCCCAGUCCCGCGGAAAGCACAAGCAGUGAUGAGUUGCCGACUACGGCGACUAUUACGAAAGACAAAUCUUCUGUAAGUUCUUUUGCCUUUAUUUUAUGUCUUGGUACU